rnacentral:rRNA from 1 species
GCAUAUCAAUAAGCGGAGGAAAAGAAACCAACAGGGAUUGCCCUAGUAACGGCGAGUGAAGCGGCAACAGCUCAAAUUUGAAAGCUAGCCUUCGGGUUCGCAUUGUAAUUUGUAGAGGAUGAUUUGGGGAAGCCGCCUGUCUAAGUUCCUUGGAACAGGACGUCAUAGAGGGUGAGAAUCCCGUAUGUGACAGGAAAUGGCACCCUAUGUAAAUCUCCUUCGACGAGUCGAGUUGUUUGGGAAUGCAGCUCUAAAUGGGAGGUAAAUUUCUUCUAAAGCUAAAUAUUGGCGAGAGACCGAUAGCGCACAAGUAGAGUGAUCGAAAGAUGAAAAGCACUUUGGAAAGAGAGUUAAAAAGCACGUGAAAUUGUUGAAAGGGAAGCGCUUGCAAUCAGACUUGUUUAAACUGUUCGGCCGGUCUUCUGACCGGUUUACUCAGUUUGGACAGGCCAGCAUCAGUUUCGGCGGCCGGAUAAAGGCUCUGGGAAUGUGGCCUCCACUUCGGUGGAGGUGUUAUAGCCCAGGGUGUAAUACGGCCAGCCGGGACUGAGGUCCGCGCUUCGGCUAGGAUGCUGGCGUAAUGUUGU